AGCAUCUGAAAUGAAGUAGGACCACCCGCUGAACUUAAGCAUAUCAGUAA
rnacentral:rRNA from 1 species